AUUGAACGCUGGCGGCAGGCCUAACACAUGCAAGUCGAGCGGAUGAGAGGAGCUUGCUUCUCGAUUCAGCGGCGGACGGGUGAGUAAUGCCUAGGAAUCUGCCUGGUAGUGGGGGACAACGUUUCGAAAGGAACGCUAAUACCGCAUACGUCCUACGGGAGAAAGCAGGGGACCUUCGGGCCUUGCGCUAUCAGAUGAGUCUAGGUCGGAUUAGCUAGUUGGUGAGGUAAUGGCUAACCAAGGCGACGAUCCGUAACUGGUCUGAGAGGAUGAUCAGUCACACUGGAACUGAGACACGGUCCAGACUCCAACGGGAGGCAGCAGUGGGGAAUAUUGGACAAUGGGCGAAAGCCUGAUCCAGCCAUGCCGCGUGUGUGAAGAAGGUCUUCGGAUUGUAAAGCACUUUAAGUUGGGAGGAAGGGUUGUAGAUUAAUUCUCUGCAAUUUUGACGUUACCGACAGAAUAAGCACCGGCUAACUCUGUGCCAGCAGCCGCCGUAACAC
rnacentral:rRNA from 1 species